GAUGAACGCUGGCGGCGUGCCUAAUACAUGCAAGUCGAGCGAACGGACGAGAAGCUUGCUUCUCUGAUGUUAGCGGCGGACGGGUGAGUAACACGUGGAUAACCUACCUAUAAGACUGGGAUAACUUCGGGAAACCGGAGCUAAUACCGGAUGAUAUUUUUAACCGCAUGGUUCAAAAGUGAAAGACGUUCUUGCUGUCACUUAUAGAUGGAUCCGCGCUGCAUUAGCUAGUUGGUAAGGUAACGGCUUACCGAGGCAACGAUGCAUAGCCGACCUGAGAGGGUGAUAGGCCACCCUGGAACUGAGACACGGUCCAGACUCCUACGGGAGGCAGCAGUAGGGAAUCUUACGCAAUGGGCGAAAGCCUGACGGAGCAACGCAGCGUGAGUGAUGAAGGUCUUCGGAUCGUAAAACUCUGUUAUUAGGGAAGAACAUAUGUGUAAGUAAAUGUGCACAUCUUGACGGUACCUAAUCAGAAAGCCACGGCUAACUACGUG
rnacentral:rRNA from 1 species